AUUUAUUAUAACAAGCUUAGUGGAUUGUUGAUAAGUUUGAGGCUAAUGUUCAUAGCUAUCAUAAGUAAAACAAGUCCAUUAUUACAUUUUACCCACAGAGUAAAAUCACUAUACUCUAAACCAGUAAGAAAGGGACACAGAAAUAAUUUCUCUAUUGUGUUAGUAGUCUCGUUUUUGUGGAAGUGAUAAUUAUCUGUAUGUAUGAAUGAAGAGAUUGUUUACCAGGAAGCUGAAGACUGAAGAGGCAAAAAGUACAUGCACAGAGGAGCACGAAAACCUCUCCCAAGAUCUGGUAAACUUCAGAAGAUGGCGGUAUUUUUGAAACCAGAACAGCUGAAAGUGGGACAUCAUGUCUCAGCUGAAUCCAAACAAUGCCACCCUUUCUAAGUUUUUUUCAAGGGAAAAUAUUUGAAUUCUUUGAGGAGCAUUUCAAUAAAAAGAUGAGGAAGCAAUUAUAGAAUCUGAUUUUAAGGAAAGAGAAGGAAAGCCUGAAGUACAAGGACUGCUUCAAAAAUGACAGCAGAGGGACAGUCUGACAAAAUGGUAUCUGAUGUGGAAGUGCAUAUGGAGCAAAGGUGUAGAAUUAAAUUCCUUCAAGUGGAAAAAAAUUGCGCCCAUUGACACUGCUGAACAUUGAUGGAGACCUAACA
ensembl:lncRNA